UCUAUAUCAAUGUUAGUAGGUAAACUUAGAUGUGUAUAUUAUAUUUUUUCACAGUAUUUAGUCAGUUACACGAAUUAAGAUAUAUUAUAUAGGUAUAUCUUAAUUCGUGGUCAGUUGUAUACAUGAGAAAAUGUACUUGCAUAUUAUAAUUGUCAAAAUUACUUUUGAGUAAGUACUCAAUCAUCUCUCUUUCUGUUCUGCUGCCAAAUCUUAAAUUUUUUUUAUUAGGUAUGUAAUUAUUAUAGCUCUUUAAACUUCCUCGUCCCACCACCAAGUUCCUUUGUUCUUUGUCAUAAUCUCACCGAUAUCCUUUGUAAUACCUACUUUGAAUACAAGUGGCCAUCCUUUCCCACACCUCGUUUAUGCUUCCCUUAAUAUUCUAUACAACCUUCUCUUUCACUUUAUUUAUACUCUUUUCCUUUGUCUCCCAUUAAUUUCUACCUUGGAAUGUUCGACUCUAUUCUUCUUUUAUUAUUUAUACUUUUGUGCACUUGCUUCCUGCAACAUCAAAACUCCAUGAGCAUUACCCUAUGUUAUUUUGUAACAUUAGGCUUUCAGUAAGUAGGAAUAUUUUUUAAUUGUAUUGUAAAAAUUAUUAUUUAGGGUAGGUACUUCUUUCUUCUACUGGCAUACCUACCUACUCUAAGAGUUUUUGCUUCCAUUCCCAGUUGUUUUGUCAAUGAUAGAUCCAUAUAUUUUCCUCCAUACUCUGCUUUCCAAAGUCUUCAAGUUUUUCUCUGUUUGCUUAAUGUUAAGAAUUUUGUCAGUGCGUAGCACGCUUUUUAGACAUUAUCUAUUCAAAUAAUUAUUUCCUUUGACUGUUCAUUGGGCACUAAUUUAUGAUAUGGGUUAGGAGUACUCGAGCUUUGAACUCACCUGGGUUGAUUCAUAAAACUAACUACACCUAAACCUCGGACAAGAUUACAUGGAUUUAAUUCUGGUUUUUGGAAACAGAAUGCUGAUUUUAAGAUUGCAACAUGGAUACAAAUAAACAUUAAAUCACCCUCUAUACCUCUGCUACCUUUCUAACUUCUCAUCUACAACAUUGAUCCACCUGUAGUUUGAAGUA